CGUGUAGGCGGCCAGGUAGGUCCGUUGUGAAAACUGGAGGCUUAACCUCCAGACGUCGAUGGAAACCAUCUGGCUAGAGUCCGGAAGAGGAGAGUGGAAUUCCUGGUGUAGCGGUGAAAUGCGCAGAUAUCAGGAAGAACACCCGUGGCGAAGGCGGCUCUCUGGGACGGUACUGACGCUGAGACGCGAAAGCGUGGGGAGCGAACA
rnacentral:rRNA from 1 species